UCUCGAACCAUCUCGCAUCCUCUCUCUCUCUCUCUACAUCUCCGAGUUGACUCGCCGGAGCACGGCCGCGCCAUGGGAGUCCCCGCCAUCUACCGGUGGCUCGCCGAUCGGUACCCGAGCUCGAUCGCCGACGUCGUCGAGGACGAGCCGGCCGAUCGACCCCUCAAGGCCCAAACCCUAACGGAAUAAAGUUCGACAACCUGUACCGCGACAUGAACGGGAUCAUCCAUCCGUGCUUUCACCCCGACGGCAGGGGUGCUAUCAAUUUACUAGUGAUGGUUUUUAGGAGGGAGUUCACUGCCAUGGGAGGUUACCUUACUGAAGCAGGCGAGGUCAUGUUAGACAGAGUAGAACAUUUUAUCCACUCUGUUGCUGUCUACGAAUAUCAAAAUUUUCAGAAGCAGGCUCGCAUACAGCAGGCAUCGGAGAAUAAUGAAGAAAUGAGAUCUAGAUCAAGAAGAGUCAUCAGAAGAAUUACAAAGUCCAGUUGUUGACAAGGUUAGAUUAAGGGAGCCUGGAUACAAGGAAAGGUAUUAUGCAGAGAAAUUUCAUGUGUCAACUCCUGAGGAGAUAGAGAGAGUUAAGAAGGAAACGGUUUUGAAAUACGUCGAAGGUUUAUGUUGGGUCUGUUGGUAUUAUUACCAAGGUGGUUGAUCCCGGCAAUGGUGAGUUUUACCAUUAAGGUCUGCAAGAAACAAUACUAAUCCAUCUUUACGUGCCUUUUAAUAGCGAUUACCCGAUUCCAUUGCCUAGAAUGUACUUAUAAACUGUGCGUAUUGGACGGUACUUUGAAGACCUCCUACUGGGAUAUUGAGCAAAAAUCUUGUUAUUUUGUUUAGUCAGAUGAAUCCUGCAUGCUUCAUUUUCUGGGUAGCUUUACUCGAAAUGUAUUGAAUAACCAUACUAUGAUUUCCCUACCGUCGUGCUCUUGUUAAGUUGCAAUUUGGUUUUCAUGCUACACUAGUUUUUAUUAGCCUAUUUUUUAUAUCUGAAUUAUUGAAAGUUGUAUACAUGCUUGUUCAAGUACUAUCCAUUCCAUCAUGCUCAAUUUGCUUCUGAUCUCGAGGAUUUAGCUGGCCUGGAGAUCACAUUCUUCUUGGGAGAGCCUUUCAAACCAUUUGAUCAGCUCAUGGGAACCUUACCAUCUGCAAGUGCAAGUGCUCUGC